rnacentral:rRNA from 1 species
CACAAGCAUUCGCCUGAGAACUACGAGCACAAACGCUUAAAACUCUAAGGACUUGGCGGUGCUCUAAACCCACCUAGAGGAGCCUGUUCUAUAAUCGAUAACCCACGAUCCACCCGACCACUCCUUGCCAAAACAGCCUAUAUACCGCCGUCGCCAGCCCACCUCAUGAGAGCACAGCAGUGAGCCCAACAGCCCACAGCCACUAAUAAGACAGGUCAAGGUAUAGCCUAUGAAGUGGAAGAAAUGGGCUACAUUUUCUAAAAUAGAAAACCCAACGAAAGGGGGCCUGAAACCUACCCCCAGAAGGCGGAUUUAGCAGUAAAGCAGGACA